UACGGAGGGUGCGAGCGUUGUCCGGAAUCACUGGGCGUAAAGGGUGCGCAGGCGGCCGUGUGUGUGAGGCGUGAAAGCCCGGGGCUUAACCCCGGAAUUGCACCUCAAACUACACGGCUAGAGCAUUGGAGAGGGUAGCGGAAUUCACGGUGUAGCAGUGAAAUGCGUAGAUAUCGUGAGGAACACCAGAGGCGAAGGCGGCUACCUGGACAAUUGCUGACGCUCAGGCACGAAAGCGUGGGGAGCAAACAGG
rnacentral:rRNA from 1 species